rnacentral:lncRNA from 10 species
AAACAAACAAAAAAACCGGAGAUUUGGUUAACAAAAUAGUCAAAGUCACUCUUAUAGAAGUUUUGUUUUAUUUUUUGUUUUUUUAAAUUUUUUUACCAUUUUGUAGCUGACAAGUACUGACAAUAAACUGCUAUAAGCAUGUGUAGAAAAAGGCUCACCUUGAGUAGUUAAGAUUAAGGAAAAGGAAUAGUGUGUAGCAUCGUCUUAGUGGUAAGACUUAAGUUGAUUUAGUAGCAAAUGGAAGUACUAGUGAACCACAUAGAUUUCAGAAGUAGGAGUAAAAGGUUAGAAGAUGUGUCAUUUUAAUCUUCUCUAGACUUUUUCUUAAUUUUUAGAAAUGUAAGUGGACUGAACAGAGGAAAACCAAAACACAGCUGGUCAAUAAUAAGUUAAAUUAAUUUGACAAACUGCCUGCUAUGCAUUUCAUAGCAUUUUAAGGACUAUAUAAGCAAUGGAUAAGGCGAAAACUCUGCCUUUAAGGAGAUCAGUCAUUGGGGGGAAACAGAAGCAAACAAACAAAAAGGCAACAUAAUAGAUAUUAAUAUUAAUACAAGAAUUUUAAAAGCACAGAGUUCUAUAAUAAUAGGAAAAUAGAGGGAAUGAUUGCUCAACUUUUCUUGAAAAAGAGUCAGGAAAAUAUUGACCGAGAAGGCAGUCAUUGACCUGAGUCUUAAAGAAUGAAUAAGGUUUUUACAGAUGGAGUAGGGUAGGGAUAACUUUCCAGGUAUAAGGAAGAUUUUGUAUUCCAGGGACCUUUGAAUAUUUUAGAAUGGCUAGAAAACUUGGUAUUAUGUAGCACAGAAAAAGUGGUAUGACUGAAGAGAUAGAGAACUUACCACAAAGGGUCUUGAAUGCCAUGAUACAUAGUUUGGAUUUUCUUCUGUAGGGAGCAAGGAGUUAGUGAAGGAUUUUAAAAGCAAAAUGACUCUUGGGAGGUAGAUUCAAUGUGAGGCUAAUCUCCGAGGUACAGGAAAUACAGGAAGGAGGAGCAACAGGUCGGGUAGUGGUGGAAGCAGGUUUGGAAAAUGUGAUUAGUUUUGUAAACGUUUUUGAGUUUGAAUUGCCACUGGGGAAGGCUUUUGGAAAUUUAUUUCCAGAGUUGAAGACUGAGCUAUCAUUGCAGUUUGCUCAGCUAUUUACUGAGCUAUCUACUGUCAAUUUGGAUAGUAUCUACAGUUUGCAUUGUAGAUACUGGAUACUUGGAUUGGCUGGUGCACCCUGUUUGUGAGACUCACUGGAGUUUGAAGAGAUGACCACUGGAAAAUAUCCCUAAGCAGUAGCUGCAAUUCCACCCCCACCUUGGAGAGCCAAAACCCUCUUCGUUUUCACUCUCCUGUCCUUGGUCUUAAGCUACUUAAAGCAGCCUUUAGACAUAGGGAAAAAUUGAAAGCCUCUCUUUUAAGAAAAACAUUAGGUACUUCUGGAAUAGAGAGUUCAAGAAAUUAGGAGAAAAAUGAACUUUUG